GGAUGGUGCAGAAUCAAGGCUGUGCAGGAGGAUGUGGGAUGGUGCCACUUCAAAGUAAAAGGCAUGGCUUUGGCGACACACAUUUAAAUGAGCUGUGGGAAAAUAGGCACACAGCAGCUAUUUUUAAUUCAUGUUAAAACUUUCAGAGCCAGAGUUGCUCAUAGGUACUGGCUUCGGAUGUUGGAGAGGAAGGCUUUCUCAGCUGACCGCUAACUUCCUUGGUGACAGCAAGAAGGUGGGAAAGAGCCCAGGGAAAGUGGCAGGUAGCAGGGCCGGCCCGUUUUUCACUGUUUUAUCAUCACUCUCUCCAGACUCAGUUCAGCUUUGAGGUUUCCAGCCUUGUUCCUGUCCACACCACCCUCAGUCAGCUCCUUCAUGUAAUACUUCUCCUUCCCUUAAGGCCUGCUCUCAGGAAAAGAUCUAGAUGUCCCUUUCUUUGUAGACUGAUAGUAGCUUGAAUUCACCUUUACAGAAGUGUUUGUACUCUAGUGAGGCUGUUUCUCAACGCAAGGGGGGAGGCCUGAGCUGGACUCUGGCGUUAGUCUGCAGGUAUGGCCUCUUUCUGGGCAGGGGUCUUCCUGGCCCAGUGAAAGCAGAGUGUAUAGGCGGCUACCUUUCUGCGUCACUCUGACACACCCAGAUUCAGUUGGUGCUACUUAGAAUCAGGUUUUGUUUUAAUUUUUUGGCCACACCCAUGGCAUUUGGAAGUUCCCAGGCCAGGGAUUGAACCUGUGCCACAGUAGUGACAAUGCCAGAUCCUUAACCACCAGGCCACCAAGGAACUCAGCAUCAGGUUUUUAAAGCUGGGGAGAACCUGGUUAAGUUUUAUUCUCUUAGAGAUAAAGAAACUGAGACCCAAAGGGAUGAAAUCCUUCUCAAUGUGGCACUCGACUGCUGCAGCUGAUCAGCAUGCCAUGCAAGGUCAGCUUUGCCAUACUUAUUUGUUAAGGCUGGCAGAGGCAUUUCUCUUCUCUCUCUCUCUCUUUUAACAUUAGGAGGCCGUGGAAUCUACUCAAGCAGCUGGAAAAGCAGCAAAGUAUUCAUUUUAGACUCAUUUAGAGAAGCAAGCUGGGAAAUGCUUGGGCUGCUCCUUGCAACAAAUUUGGAUCCUCUUAAAAGCUUGUCUAAGCUUUAGCAUAUCCCCGUAGUGGGAAGUCUUUAAUAUUCACUGACGCAAGGAGGAGGUUUUGACCCUUCAAAUGUCACCGUACUUUUAACCGUAUAACGUAUAACCAAAUAACAAAGUAAAAAUACCUCCAAGUAAAGGGGAAUUAUUUGAGGUUCAAGUUUAGGGGACCAGCUGCUUUGGUGAAAUAAUCCACUCUGCGUUUUAGACUCUCUGGAAAAGAGACAUGAGGGAUGAGGGAUGGGGGCAUUAGAGUCUGCAAGUCCGAGCCCUACAGUCCACUGCUCUGCCUGGGUUCUCUUGGGAGAUGACUCAGGAGCUGGUCAGGGACCUUGGGCAGAGAACUGGUGAGAGGCACAGAUCACCUGUGCUGGGGUGUCAGCCCUUACUAGCUGAGGGAAGACAGGCAAGUUAAUUGACCUCCCUGUGCCUCAGUCUCCUGAUCUGUAAAAUGGGGACCAUAAUAGUAUCUCCUUCCCAGAGUUGUUAUGAAGAUGAAUGGAAAUGCACAUUAAAGCACCCAGCAGCUGACAUAUAACAAGCUCAAAUAAAGGUUAGAUGUCAGUGGCAGUGCUGUCUGAGGCUGCAUUAAUUAGUUUAAAAUUGAAGCCACUUUGCCUUUUUUUUUUUUUUUUUUUUUUUUUGACUCUUCUUCCCAUGGUUAUGUGAUGAUCUUGUUACACACAAGAAAAAGAUUGCUUUCACAAUCUAGAUUCACCGGAGAACUCCCUAUAGCCUCCCCCUUUCCUCUUCAUCAGGAGGAUCCACCAUGAGAGUCCCUAUAUCUCAACCCGGAGAACUCCUCAAUCCUCUGGAGUUGCUCUUUUCGAAUCUUCAAACCCAGGAUCUUAGCUGUCUAUUUUCUGAAGCUGUAGAGACAGCCACUCAAGGAACAGAUUUUCUAGAGGAUACUUUAUUCAAUUAGUUAGUCAAUUCCCUUGUAGAUGGGAAAUUAUCCCUAAACCAUCCCCACCAACCGAGGAGCCUCUACAGUGAGAAGCAAAGAUGAUGUUGAGAUGUAACAAUAGGAUACCUCAUUUGCAAUGCAAAUGAGCAACCAGCAGGCAAAUAAACCCUUAUGGGAAAACCACUCUAAUCAUAAAAACCCCUUGCUUUGGGGAGACUGCAGUGUAAGGACAAACAGAAUCAUAUCUUCCAGGCUCUUCUCCAAUACAGGAUAUUAAAGAAUUAUCCAGGUAGUUCUCUAUGAAAUUGCAUUUGAAUAUGGCAAAAUGCAUUGCUGGACAAUAGAUAAUAUCUUUAAAACUCCACAAUUGUGGACUGAAUUAUUUAUGGUUGUCACUAUAGCUAUGAUAGUUUGGAAAUAAAAUCGUCAGGCUUUUCUCUGUUUUUAUUUGUAGGAAAACAAGUCAUUCAAGCUUUUUAGUGAUACAAUGUGACUGGCUGUCGAUGGCAGUUACAAUUUUUCAAGCCCUGCCAAACACAGGAGUACCCAGAAGGGACAUAUGUUUUCUGUGCUUUGUGUUCCAAAUUCGCUUUAAAAACAUGCGAUUAUGUGAAGGCCUGAUUUAUAUUUCCAAGGAAAAGCACAAUAAUGGCUGUUUUGUAGCUGUGUUUCUCGAAAACGUGUUUCUAUUGCUGCCUUUUCAAAAGAAUUUGGCUAAUGAUCACUGGAUUUUCACUUUCCGUCAUGACGUAUUAAAAUUUGAUGAGGUCUGUGAAAUUUAAGAACUGAUUUCUUAAGUGCAGUGGAAAUGUAGUUAACAUCGUUUGGUACUGCAACCCUGGAAACAUCUUCUGUGGCUAUCUUUAAUCCACUUCCUUAUUUUUGUGGACAAUGGGAGAAGAAGAAGCAGGGGUAUUUGUAGCCAGGAGGCAAAGAGGGGAUAGAAUGACCAGGAUAACAAAGAGCAAACCUUGGAAGGUACGUAGGCCUAUAGGUAUGCAUGAGUGUAAGUAGAAGACAAGGUGUUGCGGACAUUUCCAGGGGACAGAGGGAUGACUCUGGAGAGGAAAGGAAAUUGUGAAGGAGGAAAUGAAGUUCAUUCAUUCACACUAAGCUGGAAGUAUAAGGAUUGUCCUUUACAAAGGCCAAAUUAUUGAGACAGUAGCUAAGAGACUGGAGGUGAGGCUGAGGCAUCCCCUGUGGUCUGUUCAAUGAACUCAGGAGAGGUGAUAAAAGAACCAAAUUCCUAACACCGUGGGUACCAAGAGCCUCUGGCCAUCACAUCAGAAAAUUUAGCCCAGAAAGAGUCCUCAGAUCAUUUCCCCCAGGGUCUCCUUGUGAUUCAGCUUGGGGUGAAAUGGAACGAGGAGCAGAGGAUGGGGCACGUGGCAGUUCUGAUGCACUGGACUCCUGUCAGGAAAGAGCAUCUUUGGAAUGCGAUCUGGCAAAACAUUUUUCGGUCUCCUGUUUCUGCUGUCAGUCCCAUUCCUGAUCUUUUCUCUCCCAAGUCAACGCCUAUUUUCUCCUUUCCUUCCAUGACCUGCUACUUCUUCCUUCCUUCCCGCCCAGUUGAGUCAAGCCUACCCCAGAAUUUGGGGCUAAGGAUUCAGUUGAAUUGGAGGAAAGACUGGAAAUGAGGGUUGGAAUAUCCCAGGUGUUACUCGGAAGCUCACCUCUCCCACUGGCCUCUCAUAGAGAGGAAUUAUGGGUUUCCAGAAAUUGCAUUUUGUGGGCAUACUCUUAGCAUUAUAUGUUUUUAACUUAUUUUCUUUUUGCUUUGAUGAGUUCGAACAUCAAGUGACCCUUGAAGCGCUACAACACUUAAAUGCACUCUUUCAGGUAGGAACUGAGCAGGUGAGCUUCUAAACAUUCACUGGGUAAUUUGAUUUUCUCUUCGGUGGUUGGUUUUUCGGUGAAAAGUACAGUCCUUUUAGUUCCUAUAAAAUAGCAAUGAAGAGUAAAUUCUCUGUAAAUGUCACUUCUUAAUGGAAUUAGAAACAAAUUGUGAAUGCAUCAGAACAAAAGGGAUAACGUGUUAGAAGUUGACAGAGUUCAGGUAAGUCCAAUCAGACAUUCAGUUCUUUGGACUCUUGCUUUCAGACUAAACAAAAUACAGCUAUGUUCAUAGCUAAUUAUUCUCUUUCCAUCUUAGGAGUAUGAGAAAAGAGGAAGACAGCUGUUGGAUAUGGAGACUUUCAAAUGCAUAAUGAAGCAGAGCAUGAGGUUACAGAAUAAAAGUACUGAACAAAUAGAACAACUUUUCAUGAAAAUAGACUAUGAAGCAGUGGGCAGAAUUCAUUGGGAUGGCUUCUGCACAUAUCUGCAGUUAGCAUAUUCAGAGCAAGCUGAUGCUUUGGCUCGACAGAAAGAGGUUUCCUUCCAGCUGCCUGCUGUGCUGCAGGGACUGUCGUACGGGGGACCCGUGCUGCGCAUUCUCUCUGUGCCUGAUGACACCUUAAUCAUGAUCAGAGAAGAUGGAGCCAUUUAUUUCUGGUCCCUGCAGCUGAAGUUGAAAAGAAGAAAGCGAGUUUUUGACAAGCCCAUCAUUCGGAAGCGCCGGUGGGUGACGGAUGCCACCAGCAUGCCACAGUACAACAAACUGAUCCUAGGAACUGGAAACCGCGAAAUCCAGCUGUAUGAGUUCUCUAACUUGGAGCCUUACUGUCAGAUUGGUGGCCUGGAAGCUGUCCCUCUGAAACUGGACUACUGGUACGAGGAUCCUGACAAGUGCCUGAUUCUCUAUGGUGAUGACCAGGGAUGUGUGAACAUUCUGUUUUUGGCUUCUGUCGGUGAACUAUUAAGGGGACGUCACACCCCAGGUCCCUCUCAUGGGGGAGGUCACACUCCAGAUCCCUUUCAGAGGAAGUCACAUACCACACCUCCCAUCCUCAGGGAAGAAGUCACUCCAGGUCAAGUGUGCUGUUACUCUUGGUGGCUGAGGGUCCCCAGGAGGCAGCCGUCUCAGUCCUAUCACAGUGACACUCUGGAGCCAGAAGCAUGGAGAACUUGGAAGAAGCUGCCCAAAGUUGAGAACAUGCCAAACAUUAGCAUUAAUAAUGCUGUGAAUUCUCCAAAUGUGAAUUACAUCCGCUGGAAAGUGCACGGAGACUGGGUUACUCAGCUGAACUACUACGAUUCUAUCAACGCCGUUAUCUCAAGCUCCAAUCAUGAGCCCACUGCUCUAGUCAUAGGUACUGCUUACAUACACUUCUCUCAGGUUCACCGUGUGUGUGUGUGUGUGUGUGUGUGUGUGUGUGUGUGUGUCAGAUCCUUGGCUGUCUCCCACCUUUAGAAUCUUUGCAUUGCCACAGGCAUCCCAUACUUUGAUAAUAACUCCCAGUGCAGCUCAAAAUGGGACAACCUCCCACUGCUGAGUUUUAUAAGCCUCACGCUAAGCUGUUGGAGAGACAGAGGGAGGGAGGCACGCCUUUCACAGGCUUUACGUGUACCAAAAACUCGAUUGAUAUUUGUUGAGGUGAAAUAAGAGCAAAAUCUGCUCCAGGCAAUCUCAGGCCAUACCAUUUGAGCAGCCCUGAUGUGCUACAUGAUAUAAAAUAUACAGCGAUAUUGACAUAAAACAGUGGUUGGGGCAUUUGUAUGAAGGGGGAUUUGGGAGUUUCUAAGAAUUCAAAAUUCAUGCUGGAUAUAACAUUUGUCAGUAAUGGCAACAGGAAGACCCAGAACCUGAAGACGUUUGGAUUUUCUAGAAGCUGAACUUGGAUCAAGUGAAUUCAGAGAAAGGCCAAGGGAGAACCCAGGUCCCAAUCCAGCCCUCCCUCUUAGAGCCCCCAGCCCCAGCAGUCUGGGCAGGGGUUUGACCAGGCUGAACCUGGGUCUUUGGCAUAGGGCAUGUGGCAGGGCAAGUCUGGGCUGUUCACUCAGAGUCAUUUUGUCUGGACCAGACUGAGGACGUAUAUCCUGGCACCAGAUGAACUCUGAAAAGUUGGCUGAACCAGGAACCAAUUCCUUUACAUUAGAUUAUCCCCUGAAUACCAGCUCAUGGUCUGAAAUAGACGCAACCUCUAACUCACCCUGGAGGAUUCCACCUAGAACACUUAGUGCCAGGCACUAUGCUAAGUUCCUGCCGUGUAUUGUGGGGGGGUUUUAAUUUUUUUUUUUUUUAACAGCCAGACCUGUGGCACAUGGAAGCUCUGGGCUACUGGUCCAAUCAGAGCUGCAGGUGCAGGCCUGUGCCACAGCCACAGCAACACGGGAUCCGAGCCACAUCUUGUGACAACACUGGAUCCUUAACCCACUGCACAAGGCCAGAGAUUGAACCUGCAUCCUCACGAACACUAUACCAGGUUCUUAACCCACUGAGCCACAAUGGGAACUCCCUUGUAUCAUUUUAUUUCAUCACCAUAAUAAUCUUAGAUUAGAUUCUACUAUUAGCUCCAUCUCACAGGUGAGUAAACUAAGGUGCAGAAUAAUUAAACCGUCCUGGGGUAUCGUUCAGGAUGUGUGUGUGUGUGUGUGUGUGUGUGUGUGUGUGUGUGUGUGUGUUGAACGAAACCCAACUCAGACUGACACAAGCGAAAAGUUGAAUUCGUUGGUUGUUUCAUAUAGCCUGAGAAGGGCAGGAAAGCAGCUCUGAGCUGGGAGCUACUAGGAGCAGGGACUCAAAUGCUGCUCCACUUCUGUUUUUCUCCCACCUGAUUCCCUCUGCACAUCGGUCCCCCCAGGUGACAGCGAGCCCAGCCUCACACAGCUUAGCCACCAACAGAGCCCAGCUGAUGCUCCUGGUCCCUCAUUCAACCACCCCUGGGAAGGUUCUCAUUGGCCAGUUUGGCCCAUCUUUGGGAAAAUCAUUAUCCAAGUGACCAAGGGAGGGCAGGGACAAAAAGAACCUGGCAGUGCCCAUUCAAACCACCUGAUUAGUGUGUGGGAGGGGGUGCUUUCCAGAGUGGGAACAGAGAGAGGGGGUUACUAACUACAAAAGUUAAAGAAUGGCUACUGCCUGAGCCAUGCAACUUGGACCUGGAAGGCCAAGAACUUGAACUCAGGUCUGUCUCCAAAACCUGUGCUUGUAAUCGCCAGACUACAACAAUGAUGUCACUUGGGAGCCUGUUAGAAAUGCAAAGUGUUGGAGUUCCUAUUGUGGCUCAGCGGGUUACAGACCCAAUGUAGUGUGCACGACUAUACAGGUUUGAUCCCUGACCUCACUCAGUGGAUUAAGGAUUGGGCUACACCACAAACAGUGGUGUAGGUUAUAGAUGUGGCUUGGAUCCUGUGUUGCUGUGCGUGUGGCGUAGGUCUGCACCUGCAGCUCCAAUUUAGCCCUAGCCCCGGAAACUUCCAUGUGCUGCAGGUGCUACCAUAAAAAGAAAAAAAAAAGGAAAGAAAUGCAAAGUGACAGCCACCCCUUCGAUUACUGAAUCAGGCUGCCUUUGAAAAGAUCUGCGGGUACCUUGUGUACAUGUCAAGUCCAAGGGGCCUCCUUUAAUGACAAUAGUAUGUUUUUUGCUAAUUUUUCUAUCUUUUCUGUGUUAGUCUGUCUUUAUAAUUAUUUUGUAAUAACUUGCCCUUUGAAGAUCCUAAUUCUUCACACUUACUUUAUUAAACUUCACCCUGAUUUGUGAAGUUCUUGAGAGUGUGUUGGAAAGUCCCAUCCAAUUAUUCAACGUCAAUAUUAUCAUAUUUAAUUUUCAAGCUGAUGCUGGUGAUGCCUCCUUACAUGUGCUUGGUACUUACUAAUUUAUAAAGAACUUCCAUAUUCAUCAGUGGUUCUGUCUUGGCUGCCCUUAGGAAUUAUCUGGGGGACUUUAUAAAGUCUUAUUACUACCUGGGUCUUGCCCUCAGAGAUUCUGGCUUAAUUGGUUUGGGAUAAAGCCUGGGCAUUGGGACUUUUAAAAGCUCCCCCAAUGAUUCUAAUACAUGGUCAAGAUUAAAAGCACUGUUCAAGGGCUGUGACCCAAGCGUUUGUGUUUUUUUGUUUUUUGUUUUUGUUUUUGUCUUUUAGGGCCGCACUCGUAGCAUAUGGAAGUUCCCAGGCUAGGGGUUGAAUUGGAGCUAGAGCUGCCAGCCUACACCACAGCCACAGCAAUGCAGGACCUGAGCCACAUCUGUGACCUACACCACAGGUCACAGCAACACCGGAUCCUUGAGCCACUGAUGGAGGUUAGGGAUGGAACCUACACCCUCAUGGAUGCUAGUCAGAUUCGUUUCCGCUGAGCCACGAUGGAAACUCCUCUGUAUUUUUUAGACACUUCCUAGUGACUUUAAUUUGCAGCCAAGGUUGAGAACCAUUCUCAUGUAUUAUAUUAAUGAUUUGAUCUUCACGGUAUCAAGUGUACCCACUCUUAUCCUACAGGUGAGCACAUGCAAGUUCAAAGAGAUUUGCCCAUCAGGUCACUUAGCUGGAAGAAGUGGAAUUGGGACCUGACUCCAGUUUUUCUGACCUCAGUGCCCUAUUCCCUAGACCUGGGUUGGUAAGGCCCUGUCCCUCAGGCCUUGGAGUUUGUUUGGGGACAGCUUCGUUUCAAAAGGAGAUUCUGACCCUGGAGCGGAAUAAGUCUCUGAAACGUCAUCAUUCACCCUAGAGCAGCGAGAAAGCUGUAGCCGGUAGAGGGCGCCUCUGUCUUUGGGGUGGGGUCCCUGCAUGCCCAGCAGUAGCAGCAGCCGCCUGAGAAAGGACCAGUGAGGAGCCCAGACCCAGACACGCAGGUCUGCCCCCUGCCCAGUGGAAGCGGGGGAGAGAGAGGCUGGGGAGGCAGGGAUUGGAUGUUCAUCACCGAGGGGGAGUUACGACUUGGGUCUCUUCUUACAUGAGACCUUCUCAGGUAUUUCAUUCGCUGGAAUGAUCUUCACCUUUUCUGCCUCCCCCUCUCAGAGCCAUCCCUGGCCCCACUCCUGGAUUUUAAGGGCCUGCUUUCACCAAGCAGUGCAUUCGUAAGUGAAUAAAAUAUGUAACACCAUCUUCGGCA
rnacentral:lncRNA from 1 species